rnacentral:rRNA from 1 species
UGCAAACUGCGAAUACCGGAGAAUGUUAUCACGGGAGACACACGGCGGGUGCUAACGUCCGUCGUGAAGAGGGAAACAACCCAGACCGCCAGCUAAGGUCCCAAAGUCAUGGUUAAGUGGGAAACGAUGUGGGAAGGCCCAGACAGCCAGGAUGUUGGCUUAGAAGCAGCCAUCAUUUAAAGAAAGCGUAAUAGCUCACUGGUCGAGUCGGCCUGCGCGGAAGAUGUAACGGGGCUAAACCAUGCACCGAAGCUGCGGCAGCGACGCUUAUGCGUUGUUGGGUAGGGGAGCGUUCUGUAAGCCUGUGAAGGUGUGCUGUGAGGUAUGCUGGAGGUAUCAGAAGUGCGAAUGCUGACAUAAGUAACGAUAAAGCGGGUGAAAAGCCCGCUCGCCGGAAGACCAAGGGUUCCUGUCCAACGUUAAUCGGGGCAGGGUGAGUCGACCCCUAAGGCGAGGCCGAAAGGCGUAGUCGAUGGGAAACAGGUUAAUAUUCCUGUACUUGGUGUUACUGCGAAGGGGGGACGGAGAAGGCUAUGUUGGCCGGGCGACGGUUGUCCCGGUUUAAGCGUGUAGGCUGGUUUUCCAGGCAAAUCCGGAAAAUCAAGGCCGAGGCGUGAUGACGAGGCACUACGGUGCUGAAGCAACAAAUGCCCUGCUUCCAGGAAAAGCCUCUAAGCAUCAGGUAACAUCAAAUCGUACCCCAAACCGACACAGGUGGUCAGGUAGAGAAUACCAAGGCGCUUGAGAGAACUCGGGUGAAGGAACUAGGCAAAAUGGUGCCGUAACUUCGGGAGAAGGCACGCUGAUACGUAGGUGAAGCGACUUGCUCGUGGAGCUGAAAUCAGUCGAAGAUACCAGCUGGCUGCAACUGUUUAUUAAAAACACAGCACUGUGCAAACACGAAAGUGGACGUAUACGGUGUGACGCCUGCCCGGUGCCGGAAGGUUAAUUGAUGGGGUUAGCGCAAGCGAAGCUCUUGAUCGAAGCCCCGGUAAACGGCGGCCGUAACUAUAACGGUCCUAAGGUAGCGAAAUUCCUUGUCGGGUAAGUUCCGACCUGCACGAAUGGCGUAAUGAUGGCCAGGCUGUCUCCACCCGAGACUCAGUGAAAUUGAACUCGCUGUGAAGAUGCAGUGUACCCGCGGCAAGACGGAAAGACCCCGUGAACCUUUACUAUAGCUUGACACUGAACAUUGAGCCUUGAUGUGUAGGAUAGGUGGGAGGCUUUGAAGUGUGGACGCCAGUCUGCAUGGAGCCGACCUUGAAAUACCACCCUUUAAUGUUUGAUGUUCUAACGUGGACCCGUGAUCCGGGUUGCGGACAGUGUCUGGUGGGUAGUUUGACUGGGGCGGUCUCCUCCUAAAGAGUAACGGAGGAGCACGAAGGUUGGCUAAUCCUGGUCGGACAUCAGGAGGUUAGUGCAAUGGCAUAAGCCAGCUUGACUGCGAGCGUGACGGCGCGAGCAGGUGCGAAAGCAGGUCAUAGUGAUCCGGUGGUUCUGAAUGGAAGGGCCAUCGCUCAACGGAUAAAAGGUACUCCGGGGAUAACAGGCUGAUACCGCCCAAGAGUUCAUAUCGACGGCGGUGUUUGGCACCUCGAUGUCGGCUCAUCACAUCCUGGGGCUGAAGUAGGUCCCAAGGGUAUGGCUGUUCGCCAUUUAAAGUGGUACGCGAGCUGGGUUUAGAACGUCGUGAGACAGUUCGGUCCCUAUCUGCCGUGGGCGCUGGAGAACUGAGGGGGGCUGCUCCUAGUACGAGAGGACCGGAGUGGACGCAUCACUGGUGUUCGGGUUGUCAUGCCAAUGGCACUGCCCGGUAGCUAAAUGCGGAAGAGAUAAGUGCUGAAAGCAUCUAAGCACGAAACUUGCCCCGAGAUGAGUUCUCCCUGACCCUUUAAGGGUCCUGAAGGAACGUUGAAGACGACGACGUUGAUAGGCCGGGUGUGUAAGCGCAGCGAUGCGUUGAGCUAACCGGUACUAAUGAACCGUGAGGCUUAACCUU